CAAUAGCGUAUAUUAAAGUUGUUGCAGUUAAAAAGCUCGUAGUUGGAUUUCUGGUGGGAGCGAUCGGUCUGGCGCUUAGCGCGAGUACUUGCAUCUUCUCCGGCCAUCCUUGGGGAGAGUCUGUCUGGCAUUAGGUUGUCGGGCAGAGGAUCCUCAUCGUUUACUGUGAAAAAAUUAGAGUGUUCAAAGCAGGCUUAUGCCGUUGAAUAUAUUAGCAUGGAAUAAUAAGAUAGGACUUUGGUACUAUUUUGUUGGUUUGCGCACCAAAGUAAUGAUUAAUAGGGACAGUUGGGGGUAUUCGUAUUCCGUUGUCAGAGGUGAAAUUCUUGGAUUUACGGAAGACGAACUACUGCGAAAGCAUUUACCAAGGAUGUUUUCAUUAA
rnacentral:rRNA from 1 species